AGACGCUACUUCUUGGAACCUAAGAGGAAGAACACAAAUCAGCACAAGGAGGAACAAAAUCAGUUUGGCCAGAUAAAACUGAUCUUUAAUUUCAAGAUUUCAGAGGCUUUGUACCUUUUUAGAAACCCUAUAGGUUAAUAUAUGAAAAUCUAACCCAUACUCCCCGCCCAAUCCCCUAACCAUGAAUUGAUUAAAUUGUUAUUGCCCUGUUUAAAAUAUGUGUUUAUCCUAGUGUGUGUUGUGCCCCUCUCACCCCCUGGGUAUCUGUAGCUGGCUGUGAUGUUCUCCUCUCUGCUUCUGCUCACGGUCUCAGUGCUGAUGUUCUGGCUAAUCUGAGCCGUGUCAGUAUAGAGCCUCUGCUUUAAGACAUCUUUUGUGAGCAUCCAGAAGACAUGAUCUGCAUUCAGUGUAGCGAUAACAAACGGCAUGUCAUUCUUCAGAACGGAAGUGCAGCAGUCCUCCAGCACAAACACUUUCACCUUAUCGUAACAA